ensembl:lncRNA
GAGCUACUUUGUCAUCAAACAGAGGCUCACAAAACCAUGAAAGAAUGAACUGAAUUUAAAAUGGAGAAAUGUGCACAGGCAGUUUAUGCGAGAGUUAAUACACUGCUCCAAACAAGUCAGCAAAAUCCACAGCCAGGAACAGUGGUUUUCGGAGCACAGCCAAAGACCCGGACUCAUUGGCUAUCCGUCACCUGUCGCAGAAGACCAGCUCUGUAGCUCCUUUCAAAGUGAAGUGAUCAGUUACAUUCAAGCAGAAAAUGAAUGAACACAUCGAAACAGGUGUUUUUACAUUGGCACAGCUGUCCUGGAUGCAGCUUGCAGCCAGGACUGCAUUUGUACACAGCCAAAGUGGAUCUCAAGCAUUCCUGCGCCUCUAGCAGUUUGACCUCCACCCACAGCAGAUAAGUAACUCAGAUGGGGCUGUUCUUGUUAAUCUGCAGAAAAGAAGAGAUGUCCUUGAUGCACCAUAUACAUGUGACGCAUAUGACAAGUGUUAGCUGUGUCUCAGUGAAAGCUGAAAAUUCUUUCCUUCUUCAGGCUGCCACUCCAGAAACAUGGUAUUCUGGUUUGAAGUGGAAGAAAAUCUUACAAAAUUCUUUUUCUGUCAAGCAGUAACUAAAGCUGAGAGACUGAACGAGUGGAGUGCCUGAAAACCAUCCUCAGGUAUGAAAUGAUCUGUCUCCAAUACUAGUAUUGUUUCAUUUAGGAACAUGUAACAUCCAGUAAUACGCAUAUAUUUCAUUACAAUUUUUAAGAAUCGUUUCUCCUGGUUGAGGAAUCACUUAUUCAAGCAAAACACGG